GAGAGGGAGUGAGACUAGACUAGACUUAGGUGGCAGCGGGUGGGGGUGGCGGUGGGUGGCAGCGGGUGGGGGAGGCGGCUGCUGGGAGUGGUAGCUCGGGUGCGGGUCUAGGCGCGAGAGAUCAUGAGCGGGCGUUGGGAGUGGGCACCGAUCCCAAAGCCGGCGGUGGGGAUUUAAGCAGCCCUAGACGGUGUAGGUCGCUGUCGCUCCGGUCUCCACCGGCCUAGACCGUGGCCACCUACCCUACUGCUGCUACCGUCCUCCCCGCUUGGAGGUACCCUGCCCAGCGGUGGUUCCUCUACCUCGAGAAAGAGGGGAUGGUGCGUUGGAGGGAGGGUCGCGGUUAUCUCGCGGCCGAUGGUACUGCGCUGUCGCGACAGCGUUCGGAGCGCCCCGACACGUAGAGCAGCAGACGGUGCGGGAUGGUCCUCGAUGUAGUGGGUGUGCAGAGGAGACUUCUUCCCCUGCUACCGAACACGCAGCCGCACCAACCGAGGUCGAGGGGCGGCUGGAUACUGAGGUGUACGCAGCGGCAGAAGCUGGUGUCCAGUGGGUAGGAACUCCUCGUCUUCCUCCCUGCGUAGAUCAACUGCUAGUUCCCGGACGAGACGAGGAGAAGAAGGAACUGGUAGCCAUGGUGGUACAAGGGCCCGAAGGUUCCACGCGGUCGUGUGGCGGCGGUACGGAGGAGACGAGAGGCCCGAGCCUGGUUAGCGAGCGGGGAAGUCCAGGCCGUCGUGGCGGCGCAGCUGCUGCUUCCACCACUGACGCCGCCGCUCGCCGCGCUCAACCACCGAUACCCUGAGCCGCCGUGCCGAGAGCAGUCGCCACUGUCUCCGCCAAGAAUCCGCUCGGCUCGCACGGAGGAGGGGCAGGGGUUUUAGCGCAGGGAAAUUGCGCAAGGUAAAGCUUGUCGGCCGCGUAGUCGCAACAGCCUCGCGUACUAUCUGAUGAUUUACCUGUUCAUAGACGUUGCAAGUCGCAGCUUCUACUACGAAUGGUCUACAAGAUGAUGUCGGGGUAGGUAUAGUAGCUGUACUUCAAUCUAAAACCGGAAGUAAGCAGUUUUCAACCACAUGUUCCUUGAGGUCCACUUCUUAGAAAUUCAUUUAUUAAAUAUAUCUAGUCCUAGAAUACAACAGCUCCACCGACGACAACACUGGUUUCUAGUCGGACCUCUACACGUAGUAUCAAAAUCAACUACAACGGUGAUACAAAACCACGUACACAUAAACUAACAUACAUGUGAACUACCUGGCACAUCAGCACAUGCACGACAAACUCAAAGUAAAUCACUAAAGACCUAAACUAGUAAAUUAAGUCUUUUAAUAUAUAACAAACGACAACUUUACACAUUUUAACUUUAGACACUAACUUUUUCUAAC
rnacentral:rRNA from 1 species